UUUUGUACAAUAAGAGAUGAGGUGUAAAGGUGUUUCGUGUUCAACAGAGGUACAGCUUAAUUAUUAUUGAGUGAGUGCUCAGAGAAGGUGAAAAGCCUGUGUGGUUGUGCUAACCUGUUGAACCGUGACACUGAAGAGUCUAGUUGUUUGAGAGUACAACUUAAAGCUGGUGGUAAAUUUCAUCAAAGGCUAAAUAUAUGAGGGGACUAAUAGCGAACAAGUACCAUGAGGGAAAGUUGAAAAGAACUCUGACGAGAGAGUUCAACAGUACGUGAAACCAUAUUGAGUAAAACAGAUAACUGUGUUGUUAUGUGGUGUGCCUAUCAACAGUCUAUUUGGUGUUGUGAUGCUAUGAGUGUAGGUUGUCUAUUCAGCUGAUUGCUCGUGGUUAGCAUAGCCAGAGAUUCUGUGCACUAGUGCACACUCAAUCAUUGAGAAACUAUGCUGCUGCGGCAUCGGCGUGCAUCAGUCCGUACCUAGUACACAGUUGCAUGCUGGGCGUUAGCUAGCUGGCGUAGUUUAGCUGUGUGACAGCUGUGGGUUGCGUUUAUCAAAGGUAGCUGCUUUAUCUGCGAAUCGGUUUAUUCCUUUUUGCGGUGAGUAUGUUGCUGUAGGUAAGCGGCUCGCCAUCAAUGGUUAACAUUAGUUAUUUGACCCGUCUUGAAACACGGACCAAGGAGUUCAAAUGSCACGCGAGUCAUUGGGUUUUGACACCCGAAGGCGAAGUGAAAUGCAAACGUAUUGUUAUUUGUGGUUGUUCCAUGAUUAAGCGAUAAGCUACUCAUGCUUUCUGGCAUUUGUAGACUACAAGCGUGAUGUUUGAGACCCGAAAGAUGGUGACCUAUGCCUAGUCAAGAUGAAGCCAGAGGAAACUCUGGUGGAUGUCUGAAGUUAUUCUGACGUGCAAAUCGAUAAUCUGAUCUGGGUAUAGGGGCGAAAGACUAAUCGAACCAUCUAGUAGCUGGUUCCUUCCGAAGUUUCCCUCAGGAUAGCAAGCGUACACCUUUAGUUUCAUCCCGUAAAGCGAAUGAUUAGAGGUAUUGGGGCGUAUAUAGCCUCAACCUAUUCUCAAACUUUUAAUGGGUGUGAGUGUUCUUUCUCAAUUGAAGAACGCUGCUAAAUAAGUAUGCUUAGUGGGCCAUUUUUGGUAAGCAGAACUGGCGCUGUGGGUUGAACCAAUUGUUGAGUUAAAGUGCCUAAAGCUGGAAUGCGCAUGAGAUCUAUAAAGGGUGUUAGUUGCUGAAGACAGCAGG
rnacentral:rRNA from 1 species